CAGCCGUAAACAAUGUGCGUUAGGUGUGUCGGUAACCACGCGUUACUGAUGCGCCGAAGAGAAAUUGUGAAACGCACCACCUGGGAAGUACGGUCGCAAGGCUGAAACUUAAAGGAAUUGGCGGGGGAGCACCACAACAGGUGGAGCCUGCGGUUUAAUUGGAUUCAACGCCGGACAUCUCACCGGAUAAGACAGCUGAAUGAUUGUCAAUCUGAAGGUUUUACAUGACUAGCUGAGAGGUGGUGCAUGGCGUCAGUGACU
rnacentral:rRNA from 1 species